rnacentral:rRNA from 1 species
GAGAAAUCGGGAUUAAUACUCCAUAAUGUAACAAAUUCGCAUGUUUUUGUUAUUAAAGUUCCGGCGGAUAAAGAUGGGCAUGCGUGACAUUAGUUAGUUGGUGAGGUAACGGCUCACCAAGGCAACGAUGUCUAGGGGUUCUGAGAGGAUUGUCCCCCACACUGGUACUGAGACACGGACCAGACUCCUACGGGAGGCAGCAGUGAGGAAUAUUGGUCAAUGGGCGAGAGCCUGAACCAGCCAUGCCGCGUGCAGGAAGACUGUUCUAUGAAUUGUAAACUGCUUUUCUACAGGAAGAAAUCAUGCUACGUGUAGUGUGUUGCCGGUACUGUAGGAAUAAGCACCGGCUAACUCCGUGCCAGCAGCCGCGGUAAUACGGAGGGUGCAAGCGUUAUCCGGAUUUAUUGGGUUUAAAGGGUGCGUAGGCGGAAUAGUAAGUCAGUGGUGAAAUCCUGCGGCUCAACCGUAGAACUGCCAUUGAUACUGUUAUUCUUGAAUGUAGUUGAGGUAGGCGGAAUGUGUAAUGUAGCGGUGAAAUGCUUAGAUAUUACACAGAACACCGAUUGCGAAGGCAGCUUGCUAAGCUACGAUUGACGCUGAUGCACGAAAGCGUGGGGAGCGAACAGGAUUAGAUACCCUGGUAGUCCACGCUGUAAACUAUGAUCACUCGUUGUUUGCGAUAUACAGUAAGCGACUGAGCGAAAGCAUUAAGUGAUCCACCUGGGGAGUACGUUGGCAACAAUGAAACUCAAAGGAAUUGACGGGGGCCCGCACAAGCGGAGGAACAUGUGGUUUAAUUCGAUGAUACGCGAGGAACCUUACCUGGGUUUAAAUGUAGGUUGCAUAGAGGGGAAACUCUCUUUUCCUUCGGGACUACCUACAAGGUGCUGCAUGGUUGUCGUCAGCUCGUGCCGUGAGGUGUCGGGUUAAGUCCCAUAACGAGCGCAACCCUUAUCGUUAGUUGCCAUCAGGUCAUGCUGGGGACUCUAACGAGACUGCCGGUGUAAACCGUGAGGAAGGUGGGGAUGACGUCAAAUCAGCACGGCCCUUAUAUCCAGGGCUACACACGUGUUACAAUGGUCGGUACAAAGAGCAGCCACUUGGCGACAAGGCGCUAAUCUCGAAAGCCGAUCACAGUUCGGAUCGGAGUCUGCAACUCGACUUCGUGAAGUUGGAUUCGCUAGUAAUCGCGCAUCAGCCACGGCGCGGUGAAU